CACGAAAGUUUCUCUGUCUUAAAAAAAUACUUAAUGAAAUUGAAUUUGUAGUGAAGAUGCUACAUUAAAAUUGUAAGACGAGAAGUCCCCAUGGAGCUUUACUAAAGGCUUAAGGUUUUCUAUAAGCGGGACAGUUUUGUUGGGGCGACAGUUUUUUAAAAAGUAACAAAAACGAACUAUGGCGUAGCUUCACCCUGAAAAAUUUUUUAAGGGACAUUUUUGGUGUGUUUUAUGAUCCGUUGUUUGGAAUGAAAAAAAUAACGAAAACA
rnacentral:rRNA from 1 species